rnacentral:rRNA from 1 species
UACGGAGGGUGCAAGCGUUAUCCGGAUUCACUGGGUUUAAAGGGUGCGUAGCGGGCAGGUAAGUCCGUGGUGAAAUCUCUGAGCUUAACUCAGAAACUGCCAUGGAUACUAUUUGUCUUGAAUAUUGUGGAGGUAAGCGGAAUAUGUCAUGUAGCGGUGAAAUGCUUAGAUAUGACAUAGAACACCAAUUGCGAAGGCAGCUUACUACACAGUUAUUGACGCUGAGGCACGAAAGCGUGGGAUCAAACA